rnacentral:SRP_RNA from 1 species
GGCAAGUCUCAUACGACCAGCUCCUAUUGAACUCCCCCAGGAUCGGAAGAUAGCAAGGGUAAAUAGUCGUAGCGGUGCGAUAUGAGUAGCUUGCC